UACGUAGGGUCCGAGCGUUGUCCGGAAUUAUUGGGCGUAAAGAGCUCGUAGGCGGUUUGUCGCGUCUGCUGUGAAUUUCGGGGCUCAACCCCGAACUUGCAGUGGGUACGGGCAGACUAGAGUGUGGUAGGGGAGACUGGAAUUCCUGGUGUAGCGGUGAAAUGCGCAGAUAUCAGGAGGAACACCGAUGGCGAAGGCAGGUCUCUGGGCCAUAACUGACGCUGAGAAGCGAAAGCAUGGGAGCGAACAGG
rnacentral:rRNA from 1 species